CACUGAUGUCUCUGCUAAAUCUCUGACAACAGGUGUCUCUUCAUCUUCUCAAAGCUGGAAACGUUUUCAGUAGCAGAAACAAACACUGAACUCAUGCAAUAAUGGGUCUUAUAAGCCCCUCAAGGUAUAUACAUUGUUCUGAAAUGAUAAAACAAUGACCUUCUGCCUCUUAUUCAUACUCAAUGGAAUGAUGCGGUUAUUAAUAAUUAGUACAUUAACCACACCAGUGGGUUACAGCAUCGUUGUGACUGUAUCUCUGUUUACAUCACUACUUAUGUGACUGUGUAUAUGGAUUUCUAUUUGGAAUUACUGAAAUGUGACAUCACAUAUAUUUAUAGAAACAACGGCAUUGAAUGCUCAGUUGGAAACAAAAAAGUGCAUGGAAAGUGUAUUUUUCCACCUCAGCUUAGUCAGCUACAAUGUGACAGUUACUAACAACUUCAAGAAAAGAUUCAGUUAUAGCAGAAAAUGUGCUCUCACAUCAUUUAAAUCCCUUUUGAUUUAACCUUUGGAAAGUUAUUCCAAAUAUUCCUCCCAGUAUUUAACAAUAGUAAAUGUGGGGAUACUCUAAAAUAAGGAGGUGAAAGAACUUGAUUUGAAAACAGAAAAGAAACUUAGACAAUUUAGGUCUGGGACUGAGCACUGAGUCUGAUUUGUCUUUUUCCCCUUCAUGCAUGCAGCUAAGUAUUUCCAGAUGGUGGAUCAGAAUCCAGACGUAACAAUAUUGCCAUAUUUGGUAUAGCAGUAGCCUACGUUUUUCACAUAUUUCUGUCCCUGUUAUCCAACCACAAAACAUUCUCGACAGUUUAAGAUGCUGUUAAAUAUAGACUUGACUUAUGUUCCAGGAGCAGGAAAUUCUGUGGAAUUCCUGCCUUUUCACGCAAUGUGUCUAUCAUGAGAUACUUGAAAACAGACUUGGACAAAUCCAACUGGCCUUAUGGGUUUGUUUCAGAUAUGAAUAUAAGUCAGGAGUUCCAUGCUCCUGCCCCACAGCAUUUAAAUAAGUGACAUGCCAGGAAUUUCUAAAACCAGAUUAGUUUAGAAUUUAGACAAAGACAAGAUCCUUUCAUAGCCAGCAACAUAUUAACCCAAACCCUCCACCCAUUAGCCACGAGAAACAACCCACCCAGGGCUUCACUCUUUCUUAUUAACCUGUUUGCUAAAGAUUUCAACAGUGUGAGCUCAUCAAGUAGAUCAGUGGCUGCUCCCAGCGUCCGCCCUGCCUAAAGGAACUCUACUGUGAGCACAGGGAAUGGGAUCCCCUGCUGCUUCUUCUCAGCUUAGUGCAAGUGGCCAGAGCCUUUUGUUGGACGUGCUGAUGAAGAAGAUGUAUGUAACUGGAGGAUGAGAACAGUCGUUUUGGAGAUUGUAUUUGUGAGCUGACCUGGAUGUAGUCUUCUGUGUUUCUAAAGUACACCAAUGGUGCAAAAAGGUUGGACUAAAUUGCAUAAGGAAUUGCAGUCACCGGGCUCUUCAAUGCUGCAUGUUGUUGGCAAAUAGUAGAAGAAAUGAUUUACUUGCUGCUGUGGAUAACAUUGAUAUUAAAUACAUAUAAUCAUGUUAACAAUGGUAACUUGAUGAAAUGAAGGCAAUAGAGAUGAAAUGGAUAAAGAUUUUUAUGUGAUGGAAUUAUUUGUUUUAAAGACAGAAGUCAAGAAGAAAAUGGAAAAAGCAGCUUGUUUAUAUGAACUGAAGAUUUUAGAAAGGCAAUAUACACUGUAUUCUGUCUUUUAACUACAGUGGAGCAAGGCCAUAACGCAUUAUAAUCCUGGAAGGUUUCCACCCAGAGUGCUUAUUUUGUUCUACAGAUUUACCACACCAUUGAUCCUUGGAACAAAUGGAUACAACAAAAUUACAUGGCUCAAACAAAAACAAAUGGAACAUGGAAAAACGUAAUUACUAGGCUCUUUUAAUAACAGCAUAUACACAACCGGAAGGAUGUGGAUGCAUCACUAAAUUCAGCUGAUGGAGGAUCAUGGGAUGAAAAUGAAUGGAACACAUUUUUAACAUUUUACAUCUCUUUAAAAUGACAAGUUCACUAGGAUGAAAUUCUGGCUAUUUAUAGGAUUGUACUAAGUGUUUGAUAUAUGUAUCACAGGAAGGAAAAUACAACACUUUCAGUGCAUAAAGCUUUCUCAGUUGUUUAUUUCACCCUGACAUAUAUACCUGUCAACUGGAUGCUGAGUUUUAAAGUAAGUAGACUGCAUAUAUGUAAUGUAAGAUGAGCUAUGUUUGCUGAAGUGCAGUUUAACAUGAAUACUACUUUAAUAUAAAAAAAAUUCAGGGAAACACAAUAUUUUGCUUUCCUUAAAGAACUUUAAAAAAUAACCAGAGAUAGGAAGCAUAUUAGGAGUUAGUUGUAGUUUAACAAGAUCUGGAGGCUGCAGGUUGGAUAUCACUGUUCUGAAUCAGUGAUAUUCAGCCAAUUACUUUCCAGUAAUAAAAAGUUGUCGUUCAGCAGUUACUGGAAAACCACAAGUUGAAAUACUGUUCUGAAUAACAGAUGGAAAUGUUUAUGUUUUGAUCAUGUUCAAGAGGUGAUGUAAAACCACAGACUUUUAGAUUUUAGAAUGUAAAUAUUAAAAUGGUAAUAACUAUAUUAAUUAUAAUAAAUAAUUUAAGAAAACCUGUUUCCUGUAUUACUGCCAGCUGUUAAAUAUGGCUAAUCACUUAUAUAGUUGUGCCAUGUUGCACUAACUUUAAUUAGGUUAUCUUCCAUAUAUUUUUAUUUCCAUUGAGUUCCCACUUUUUCAUUUUCAUUCAUAUGAGAAUAAGUGCUGUUGUGUUGCUUGUCUUUGCCACAGCUUGUUGCAUUUAACACCAAUGUUACUUGACUACUUAGGCACCAGUUAUUUUAAAAGGUAUUAACUGAAGGAAUAUUCUAUGAACCCAAGAUAUAAUUUCUUCUGCCUUCACUUCCUGUUUAUUAGGAAAUAAGUAAGUCAUACAAGCAGAGGAUUUUUAGAAGCACAUUUAUCAGUGAUAUCAGAGUUUGCUUUUUGAUAAAUACACUUCUAAAUAUGCAUUACCAUAGGAAUCAAUAGAACAAGGGUGACUUUUUCUGUGAUAAACUCUAAUCUAAAAUUUUGAUAAAUUUGCCCCUUAGUAUUGAAUUAUUGUCCCUCUAUUCAUCAUAUUUGAUUUAUAUUCUAUUUCUAUUUAUUUAUUCCCACCCUGGGUAACUGGGCCUGGUGAGUUCACAGAAGGGUCCACUGGCACAUGAGUCCAUGGGUGUUCAUGAGCACCCUACCUUCUGUCCAUACUUGUUUUAUACCUAGAUUAAAAGAAGCAUAAAUCUUUGCUUGAUAUAUGAAUGUCCAUUUAUGCAACUGAUAAUGUCAAGGGAAGGUUUUACCUGUGCAGUUCUUGUUCCUAAAAGUAGCAAAAGUGCAGCCCUAAUGGCUUGGUUUUCCCCAAUUUGUCACAUGAUCUGGUAACCUUAUCUCAGUGGGAAUAUCUCCCCCUAGUCAAGGAUAAAUUGUUCUUUUAAAAUGAAUGCUAUUUAGGUGAGAGACACUGGCUAGACUUCUUUUUUUAACCUGUGUUCAUAGGUUUCUUUGAAAUUGAAACACUGUACAUACUUAGCAUGUAUUUAAUACAUGGAAAAAAACAACAGUCCACCACCAACUUAAUUUCCCUUGAAUGCUUGUCUGAGAAAUAUGGAACCAGUAGUUAAUAAGGAAAACAUGAAGAUUGUUACCACAUACAAUGUGCUACAAACAGUUUUAGAACCAGGCCCUUGCAAGGUAUAUUAUUUGGUUUUCAUCUGAAAUUAAUCACCCACAUGAUAUUAGGGUAAGGGCACAUGCUAAGAUUCGGGUAGAUUUAGUCGCCCGGCGACAAAUUGCCUCUUCUUCUCCCCAAAUAGCCUUCCCGCCGGCUAAAGUUUAAAUCGCCGGUGGGGAGGCACUCACAGUCAUUUGUUUUCCGAAGUCGCCCGAAGUUUCCUCGUGAGGCAAGCAAUACGAGUGCCAUUCUGCCAGCGAUUUAGAUUCUAGCCGGCGGGGAGGCAGUUUGGGGUGAUUAGCCACCUGAAGGAGAAGCGAGUUGAAGCUGGGUGACUAAUCUCCCCCAGUAGCUUUGUGUGCCUUAGACUUAAGGGCAUGUUUACUAACAUUGGAGAUAAAUAUCUCCAGAGAUCUCCGGAGAUCCAAGCAGACCUUUGUUUUCUAACUUGUAGGUGACUGAUUAAAUAUAAUUUCUGAUUGGUUGCCAUGGGCAACAUCUCUGUAGAUCCACAAAGAUAUUUAUCGCCAAUCCUAGUAAACUUUCCCCUUGGUCUCUUAAAAAAAUCUUAGGUAAAACAAAUAGCAGACAUUUAUUUACAAGUCGCAACAAUACAGAAAAAUGUAAACUUUUAGUUUUGCAUUGUAAUAAUUGUUUGGUGUAACCAGACAAGUAAUCCACAAAGAAAUGUGCUUAGCACAUGUAAAUGUGCUAGUGUCAACAUUUCUAUGACAUUGACAGACAGUAUUUUUAAAAAAAAAGUAUCAAUAGAAGAGAAUUAUGACGUAAAUACAUUCUUCACAUGCCUGAAAUGGAAUAAAACAUGCCACCAACUCACUGCACAAUGCAUAGGACAAGGAAAAAAUAACAACUGUUUUUUGUCUUUGCUGUUGAAUUUGGAGGAAAAUAAUGACUAUUAACUGUGUCCUGAUCGCUGAAAGUGCACUUUUUCAAGUUUUUAAUGUGUUUUACUUCAAAUUGAGAGAGACAUAGUAGUAAAAUUAAAAUCUCUCUCUCACUUGCUCAUAUAGGGGUGAGGGUUGAUAAUAAGGUCCCUGGAGACAAGCAGAUAAUACCAGUUGGUUGGUUGAUUGCAUCUCCUUUUGCAGAUUUCCACUAGGAGGAGCAUAAGAAUGCUGUAGUGCCACUUACUGUAUAUUCAAGCAUGAGCAUAUCUUUGAGUUUAUGAACUCUACUGCAAACUUUCAUUUGUAUUCAUUAUAAGGCAUUUUAAGUAUUGGUAUUUGACAGUUGACACUGCUAAAUGCUUUAAGAUUGAUUGGUAUUCUUUUAUAGGACAAGGAAAGUAAAACUAAAAAAGUAGGCUAGAAAUGUUGUACAUUAUGUUUUAG